CUUGCGCAAGGCCCCAGAGAGCGGCAUCAGAUUAACCUGGCUCCCAGCCCUGCACCUACGUCACUGGAACCUACAUUCCCUUUCCUCCAAUCCUGUGCCCUUUAAGGGAAAGCCCAGUAGCUGGCACAAGUCACGGGAGCACAGAGAAUUCAGGGUGACUUGGCCAUUGUUCAAGCUAAGUCACGCACAGUCAUGGCUGACUGAAAGAGAUCACAACACAUUCGAAUGUUGCUGACAGCUGCAAUAACACGGGGAAUGAACUCAUUUUCCAAAGACAUGGGAUUUUUCAUAGACAAGGCCCUCAAACCUCAACAUUUCACAAUCCCAGAGCCUCGUAUCUACAGUGACUCUCCAUCUUCCUCAGUUCAAGCACCUCAGUUUGCGUCAGUCGUUGGAUCCCUUCUCUUCAGCAAAGCUAGAACUCAACCUGCUAUCAGCCACAGGGCCGGCUCCAGCAUUUCUGCCGCCCCAAGCAAAAAAAAAGCCGCGAUCGGCGACGGCAGUUCAGCGGCAGAUCCCUCACUCCUAGAGGGAGUGAGGGACCUGCCGCCCCCGAAUUGCCGCAGGUGCCGCCCCCUCCCUUGGCCGCCCCAAGCACCUGCUUGUUAACCUGGUGCCUGGAGCCGGCCCUGAUCAGCCAUGAGGCUCCUUUUCCUGCUCUUUGCUGUUCUCUUCCAGGCUGCUCCAGGCAAGGUGCAAAACAAAGGAUCAGGAGACUAAAAAAGCAUCUUGUGUAUGUCAACAAGGAAGAUAAAAUAAUUAUCCAUUGAGGGACCAAAUCGUGAUCCUCAAACUGUGUUCAGGACCAGCAUAGUUUACGAAAGAGUAAACAAGAGAUCACCUACCUGAGAGCAACUCUUCCUGUCCACGCUGAAUCUCUGGGAGAUGUCCCUUCACUUCUAAAGCCAUUGGCUCCUGCUUCAAUGGAAGCCUAAAAUGCUUUUCACUUGGGCUGGGAAGAAUCUUAUGAGCUGGAGAAAAUCCAAAAGGGAAAGCAUCAGUUGUGAUAACAAGUGGUGCGGACAUCCUGACCAACCUUCAGCCAUGAGGAUCCUUUACCUUCUCUUGGCUGUUGUCUUCUUGGUGCUCCAGAGUGCUCCAGGAUUCACCCAGGCUCAGAACAUCAUUCAGUGUAUACGUCUCGGGGGUUCCUGCCGGAGUGGGUCAUGUCCCAGCGGUUUUGCUCGUAUUGGCACCUGCAGCGGAUCAGACAGCUGCUGUCUACAGUGGUGAUGGCUCUGCUGAUUGUCUAAGCAGGACCUCUGGGAAUUUGGGAGACAUCCCCUCAUUUCUAAAAUCACUGAAUCCUGCUGCAAUGGAAGCACCAUUCAUUGGGGUCGUAAAGAACCGCAUGAGCUGGAGAAUUUCCAGAAGAGAGCCCUGGUAUCACCCGUAAAGAGAUUCCCUCUUAAUUCAAUCAAGUUGCUUUGAAAACUCAAUGCUGAAAUGUGUGUUUGUGUCACAGUG